GACGAACGCUGGCGGCGUGCUUAACACAUGCAAGUCGAACGGAAAGGCCGUGCCUUUGUGGGGUGCUCGAGUGGCGAACGGGUGAGUAACACGUGAGUAACCUGCCCUGGACUUUGGGAUAACUUCAGGAAACUGGUGCUACUACCGGCUAUGAGCUCCUGCUGCCUGGUGGGGUUCGGAAAGCUGCGGCGGUUGGAGGUAGACGUGCGGCUUAUGAGCUUGUUGGUUGGGUAGUGGCUUACCAAGGCUUUGAUGGGUAGCCGGCCUGAGAGGGUGACCGGCCACAUUAGUACUGCGAGACGCCCCAGACUCCUACGGGAGGCAACAGUGGGAAAUAUUGCACAGUGAGCGGACGCCUAAUGCAACGACGCCGCGUGCGGAAUGAGGGCCUUCAGGUUGUAAACAGCUUUCGCCUAUGACGAAGCGUGAAUGACGGUAAUGGAAAAAGAAGCACCGGCUAACUACGUG
rnacentral:rRNA from 1 species